rnacentral:rRNA from 1 species
CCUACGGGCGGCUGCAGUGGGGAAUAUUGCACAAUGGGCGCAAGCCUGAUGCAGCCAUGCCGCGUGUGUGAAGAAGGCCUUCGGGUUGUAAAGCACUUUCAGCGGGGAGGAAGGCGGUGAGGUUAAUAACCUCAUCGAUUGACGUUACCCGCAGAAGAAGCACCGGCUAACUCCGUGCCAGCAGCCGCGGUAAUACGGAGGGUGCAAGCGUUAAUCGGAAUUACUGGGCGUAAAGCGCACGCAGGCGGUCUGUCAAGUCGGAUGUGAAAUCCCCGGGCUCAACCUGGGAACUGCAUUCGAAACUGGCCGGCUAGAGUCUUGUAGAGGGGGGUAGAAAUCCAGGUGUAGCGGUGAAAUGCGUAGAGAUCUGGAGGAAUACCGGUGGCGAAGGCGGCCCCCUGGACAAAGACUGACGCUCAGGUGCGAAAGCGUGGGGAGCAAACAGGAUUAGAUACCCGGGUAGUC